rnacentral:rRNA from 1 species
GACGACGCUGGCGGCGUGCUUAACACAUGCAAGUCUACGAGAAUAAGGUAGCAAUAUCUUUAGUAAAGUGGCGCACGGGUGAGUAACACGUAAGUAACCUACCUUUAGAUUUGGAAUAACCCCGAGAAAUCGGGGCUAAUACCGAAUGAUGCAGCGGCACCUCAUGGUGAUGUUGUUAAAGUCUAUAUGACGUCUAAAGAUGGGCUUGCGUCUGAUUAGCUAGUUGGUGAGGUAAUGGCUCACCAAGGCUACGAUCAGUAGCUGGUCUGAGAGGAUGAUCAGCCACACUGGAACUGAGACACGGUCCAGACUCCUACGGGAGGCAGCAGUGAGGAAUAUUGGGCAAUGCCCGAAAGGGUGACCCAGCAACGCCGCGUGGAGGAUGAAUGCCGUAAGGUUGUAAACUCCUGUUAGAGGGGAAGAAAAAUCUCGAUCAAAUCGGGAACUGACUGUACCCUCAGAGAAAGCCCCGGCUAACUACGUG